CCGAGUGAGGGUUUCUCUGAAGCCCAACCUCCCACCCGUGUAUACCGUACCCUGUUGCUUCGGCGGGCCCGCCUCACGGCCGCCGGGGGACCUCGCGUCCCCGGGCCCGCGCCCGCCGAAGACCCCAACACGAACACUGUCUGAAAAGUGCAGUCUGAGUCGAUUGUUACCAAUCAGUCA
rnacentral:misc_RNA from 1 species